GUGGGGUGGGGGCAGACCUCUCUUAAAACCCAGCCAGAAGCUUCCUGUAACAGAAGCCGUCCGACCCCCGGGCCAGGGCCCAAACAGUGGAAGGAUGGGCAGGGUGUGGGGCAGGCCCCCAGGGAUGCCUUCCAGGGCGCCCCAGCCCUGUCUCUGGAGCUGACACCCGCUGCACCCGCCAUGCUGCUGCCCAAGGCCAGUCCUCAGCCUGACAGAUCUCGGCAAGACGCCCUGCUGGGUAAACCGUGCCAUAGACCGGGACUCCUCGUCCGAUCUGCUCUGAGAAGAGGCUUCCUGGGUCGGGGUCAGACGCGGGCGGCGAGGACCCGCGGUCCCGGUCGUCUCUCAUCUGGCUCCUUCUCAAGGCCUCCUGACUGGUCUCCCUGCCUCCAGACUUGCCAUCCCUCUCUUCUGGCUCUAACCUUUCUCUCACUGCUGCACGUGUCUUCCGACUGGAAUCUCAUGUCAGCCCCUUGCCUGAAGUACCUAAGUGGAUCCUUCAUGCCCUCAGAAUAGACUGAACUUAGAAAAAUGGGAUUCAGUGUCCCUCCUAACAUGAUUUCUG
ensembl:lncRNA